GACGAACGCUGGCGGCGUGCCUAAUACAUGCAAGUCGAACGCAGUGGGGACGGGUGAGUAACACGUGGGUAACCUCCCAUCAGAGGGGAUAACACUUGGAAACAGGUGCUAAACCGAUACUGAUGGAUGGACCCGGGGUGCAUUAGCUAGUUGGUGAGGUAACGGCUCACCAGGGCCACGAUGCAUAGCGGACCUGGGGGGGUGACGGGCCACAGUGGGACUGAGAAACGGCCCGGACUCGUAGGGGAGGAAGAAGUGGGGAAUCUUCGGCAAUGGACGAAAGUCUGACCGAGAAACGCCGCGGGAGGGAAGAAGGUUUUCGGAUCGUAAGACUCUGUUGUUAGAGAAGCGGUAUCUAACCAGAAAGCCACGGCUAACUACGUGCCAGCAGCCGCGGUAAUAC
rnacentral:rRNA from 1 species